rnacentral:rRNA from 1 species
UACGUAGGGGCAAGCGUUGUCCGGAAUCAUUGGGCGUAAAGCGCGUGUAGGCGGCUCGGAAAGUCUGGUGUGAAAUCCUGCGGCUCACCGCAGACUGUCACUGGAUACUGUCGAGCUUGAGUCCGGAAGAGGAGAGUGGAAUUCCUGGUGUAGCAGUGAAAUGCGUAGAGAUGUGGAGGAACACCGAUGGCGAAGGCAGCCUCCUGGGCCAGCACUGACGCUCAUGCACGAAAGCGUGGGGAGCAAACAGG